rnacentral:rRNA from 1 species
AUUGACCGCUGGCGGCAGGCCUAACACAUGCAAGUCGAACGAGUGGCGGACGGGUGAGUAAUGUCUGGGACACUGCCUGAUGGCGGGGGAUAACUACUGGAAACGGUAGCUAAUACCGCAUACCAUCCGAUUUGCCCAGAUGGGAGUAGCUUGUUGGGGGGGUAACGGCUCACCUCGGCGACGACGCCUAGCUGGUCUGAGAGGAUGACCAGCCACACGGGAACUGAGACACGGUCCAGACUCCUACGGGAGGCAGCAGUGGGGAAUAUUGCACAAGGGGCGCAAGCCUGAUGCAGCCAUGCUGCGUGUAUGAAGAAGGCCUUCGGGUUGUAAAGUACUUUCAGCGGGGAGGCGUUACCCGCAGAAGAAGCACCGGCUAACUCCGUGCCAGCAGCCGCGGUAAUAC